rnacentral:rRNA from 1 species
AUACGGAGGAUCCGAGCGUUAUCCGGAUUUAUUGGGUUUAAAGGGUGCGCAGGCGGGAGAUUAAGUCGGCGGUGAAAUUUUGCAGCCCAACUGGAAAAGUGCCUUCGAAACUGGUUUUCUUUAGUGUAGAUGAAGUAGGCGGAAUUUGUGGUGGAGCGGUGGAAUGCAUAGAUAUCACGAGGAACUCCGAUUGCGCAGGCAGCUUACUAAACUACUACUGACGCUCAGGCACGAAGGCGUGGGGAUCAAACAGGAUUAGAUACCCUGGUAGUCCACGCAGUAAACGAUGAUUACUAGCUGUUUGCGAUACAAUGUAAGCGGCUGAGCGAAAGCGUUAAGUAAUCCACCUGGGGAGUACGUUCGCAAGAAUGAAACUUAAAGGAAUUGACGGGG